GAUGAACGCUGGCGGCGUGCCUAAUACAUGCAAGUCGAGCGAACGGACGAGGAGCUUGCUUCUCUGAUGUUAGCGGCGGACGGGUGAGUAACACGUGGAUAACCUACCUAUCAGACUGGGAUAACUUCGGGACACCGGAGCUAAUACCGGAUAAUCUUUUGAACCGCAUGGUUCAAAAGUGAAAGACGGUCUUGCUGUCACUUAUAGAUGGAUCCGCGCUGCAUGAGCUAGUUGGUAAGGUAACGGCUUACCAAGGCAACGAUGCAUAGCCGACCUGAGAGGGUGAUCGGCCACACUGGAGGUGGGACGGGGUCCAGAGUCCUACGGGAGGCAGCAGUAGGGAAUCUGACGCAGUGGGCGAAAGCCUGACGGAGCAGCGCCGCGUGAGUGAUGAAGGUCCUCGGAUCGUAAAACUCUGUUAUUAGGGAAGAACAUAUGUCGAAGUAACUGUGCACAGCGUGACGGUACCUAAUCAGAAAGCCACGGCUAACUACGUG
rnacentral:rRNA from 1 species